rnacentral:rRNA from 1 species
CCAGUAGCGGCGAGCGAACGGGGAGGAGCCCAGAGCCUGAAUCAGUGUGUGUGUUAGUGGAAGCGUCUGGAAAGGCGCGCGAUACAGGGUGACAGCCCCGUACACAAAAAUGCACAUAUUGUGAGCUCGAUGAGUAGGGCGGGACACGUGGUAUCCUGUCUGAAUAUGGGGGGACCAUCCUCCAAGGCUAAAUACUCCUGACUGACCGAUAGUGAACCAGUACCGUGAGGGAAAGGCGAAAAGAACCCCGGCGAGGGGAGUGAAAAAGAACCUGAAACCGUGUACGUACAAGCAGUGGGAGCCUCUUAAUGGGGUGACUGCGUACCUUUUGUAUAAUGGGUCAGCGACUUAUAUUCUGUAGCAAGGUUAACCGAAUAGGGGAGCCGAAGGGAAACCGAGUCUUAACUGGGCGUUAAGUUGCAGGGUAUAGACCCGAAACCCGGUGAUCUAGCCAUGGGCAGGUUGAAGGUUGGGUAACACUAACUGGAGGACCGAACCGACUAAUGUUGAAAAAUUAGCGGAUGACUUGUGGCUGGGGGUGAAAGGCCAAUCAAACCGGGAGAUAGCUGGUUCUCCCCGAAAGCUAUUUAGGUAGCGCCUCGUGAAUUCAUCUCCGGGGGUAGAGCACUGUUUCGGCAAGGGGGUCAUCCCGACUUACCAACCCGAUGCAAACUGCGAAUACCGGAGAAUGUUAUCACGGGAGACACACGGCGGGUGCUAACGUCCGUCGUGAAGAGGGAAACAACCCAGACCGCCAGCUAAGGUCCCAAAGUCAUGGUUAAGUGGGAAACGAUGUGGGAAGGCCCAGACAGCCAGGAUGUUGGCUUAGAAGCAGCCAUCAUUUAAAGAAAGCGUAAUAGCUCACUGGUCGAGUCGGCCUGCGCGGAAGAUGUAACGGGGCUAAACCAUGCACCGAAGCUGCGGCAGCGACACUAUGUGUUGUUGGGUAGGGGAGCGUUCUGUAAGCCUGUGAAGGUGGCCUGUGAGGGUUGCUGGAGGUAUCAGAAGUGCGAAUGCUGACAUAAGUAACGAUAAAGCGGGUGAAAAGCCCGCUCGCCGGAAGACCAAGGGUUCCUGUCCAACGUUAAUCGGGGCAGGGUGAGUCGACCCCUAAGGCGAGGCCGAAAGGCGUAGUCGAUGGGAAACAGGUUAAUAUUCCUGUACUUGGUGUUACUGCGAAGGGGGGACGGAGAAGGCUAUGUUGGCCGGGCGACGGUUGUCCCGGUUUAAGCGUGUAGGCUGGUUUUCCAGGCAAAUCCGGAAAAUCAAGGCUGAGGCGUGAUGACGAGGCACUACGGUGCUGAAGCGACAAAUGCCCUGCUUCCAGGAAAAGCCUCUAAGCAUCAGGUAACAUCAAAUCGUACCCCAAACCGACACAGGUGGUCAGGUAGAGAAUACCAAGGCGCUUGAGAGAACUCGGGUGAAGGAACUAGGCAAAAUGGUGCCGUAACUUCGGGAGAAGGCACGCUGAUAUGUAGGUGAAGCGACUUGCUCGUGGAGCUGAAAUCAGUCGAAGAUACCAGCUGGCUGCAACUGUUUAUUAAAAACACAGCACUGUGCAAACACGAAAGUGGACGUAUACGGUGUGACGCCUGCCCGGUGCCGGAAGGUUAAUUGAUGGGGUUAGCGGUAACGCGAAGCUCUUGAUCGAAGCCCCGGUAAACGGCGGCCGUAACUAUAACGGUCCUAAGGUAGCGAAAUUCCUUGUCGGGUAAGUUCCGACCUGCACGAAUGGCGUAAUGAUGGCCAGGCUGUCUCCACCCGAGACUCAGUGAAAUUGAACUCGCUGUGAAGAUGCAGUGUACCCGCGGCAAGACGGAAAGACCCCGUGAACCUUUACUAUAGCUUGACACUGAACAUUGAGCCUUGAUGUGUAGGAUAGGUGGGAGGCUUUGAAGUGUGGACGCCAGUCUGCAUGGAGCCGACCUUGAAAUACCACCCUUUAAUGUUUGAUGUUCUAACGUGGGCCCCUUACCGGGGUUGCGGACAGUGUCUGGUGGGUAGUUUGACUGGGGCGGUCUCCUCCUAAAGAGUAACGGAGGAGCACGAAGGUUGGCUAAUCCUGGUCGGACAUCAGGAGGUUAGUGCAAUGGCAUAAGCCAGCUUGACUGCGAGCGUGACGGCGCGAGCAGGUGCGAAAGCAGGUCAUAGUGAUCCGGUGGUUCUGAAUGGAAGGGCCAUCGCUCAACGGAUAAAAGGUACUCCGGGGAUAACAGGCUGAUACCGCCCAAGAGUUCAUAUCGACGGCGGUGUUUGGCACCUCGAUGUCGGCUCAUCACAUCCUGGGGCUGAAGUAGGUCCCAAGGGUAUGGCUGUUCGCCAUUUAAAGUGGUACGCGAGCUGGGUUUAGAACGUCGUGAGACAGUUCGGUCCCUAUCUGCCGUGGGCGCUGGAGAACUGAGGGGGGCUGCUCCUAGUACGAGAGGACCGGAGUGGACGCAUCACUGGUGUUCGGGUUGUCAUGCCAAUGGCACUGCCCGGUAGCUAAAUGCGGAAGAGAUAAGUGCUGAAAGCAUCUAAGCACGAAACUUGCCCCGAGAUGAGUUCUCCCUGACUCCUUGAGAGUCCUGAAGGAACGUUGAAGACGACGACGUUGAUAGGCCGGGUGUGUAAGCGCAGCGAUGCGUUGAGCUAACCGGUACUAAUGAACCGUGAGGCUUAACCUU